AUUUCCCUCCUUUUUUAUUUGUUAUCCCAUUUAUUUUGUUCAUCUUAGAAAAUUCAUAAAAAAUAGAAAAAUGAUCCAAAUUAACUCCAAUUUUUUUUCAUAGUUUUGUUUUAAUGUCUAGUUUUUUUUUAUAUUAUUUUCAUGAUUUGUUGAUGUCUGAUUUUUAAUGUGUGAUUUUUUUGAUCCAUGCCAUGCUAUUUU
rnacentral:lncRNA from 1 species